rnacentral:rRNA from 1 species
UCGGGAAUUUUGGGCAAUGGGCGAAAGCCUGACCCAGCAACGCCGCGUGAGUGAAGAAGGCCUUCGGGUUGUAAAGCUCUUUCAGACGGAAAGAAACGGUUACGGCUAAUACCCGUGACUAAUGACGGUACCGUAAGAAGAAGCACCGGCUAACUACGUGCCGGCAGCCGCGGUAAUACGUAGGGUGCGAGCGUUAAUCGGAAUUACUGGGCGUAAAGCGUGCGCAGGCGGUUUGGUAAGACAGAUGUGAAAUCCCCGGGCUUAACCUGGGAACUGCAUUUGUGACUGCCAGACUAGAGUGUAGCAGAGGGGGGUAGAAUUCCACGUGUAGCGAGUAGA